rnacentral:lncRNA from 1 species
GCAAGCUGGCAAGCCAGAAGAGUGAUUUAAGAGCUACACUCAUGUAGCGUGUCCUUGCCUGAUAAAUAUAAUGACAGCACACGUAAAGGACGACAUUUUUCCAGGCUUCUGAACAGAUGCAAGCACCUUUUCAUGUAACUCGGCGUAAGUCUUGCUGCGCAUGCGCAAGAGUGAGCAUGGGCUUCUUUUGCUUUGGAACGAAGACACAAACUUCAGCAGAUCUUUUAAAUUAAGCUUCUCUGCUUUUUCCAAUCCACGUCUUGGUGAGUCUUCUGUGCAUGGAGGAGGUUACCAACGUGGUUGAUACAUCACGUGCUGUCCUGUAAAUGUAAACGCACAGUGAAAUGUCUAUAGAAGCCAUUUGGCUUCUCCGGCUGCCGCCUUGUUUUACGCAUGGGUCUCCCUCCUGCUUCCAAUUUGGCAGUGAAUGUCAGAAGAUGAAAGGGCCUGAGUCUCCUAGCAACAGAGAUAUUUCUUCUCUUCAGCUGAGCAGGCUGCUGAAACCUGUUCUAACGGGGCUUGGAUAGGUCUCAAAUUUGUUUUCAUCCACGUCGCUGACUUUGCCAGCAUGCAGAAUACAAGGAUGACAUUCUUCUGAAGAUUUGCAUAGAGGUUCAGGGGCUGGCGGGAGCCUAUGAGACCUGGCAGUGUGUGACAAGGCCAGACUCCCUGCCAGAAUGCCCAGAGAGGCCAGCAUGCAUACCUAAACUGCAGUGGAGACACGAAGACACCAGGAAUACGAGGCAUCUGCCGUACAGGUCAUGCGGAGGCAUUGGACACCUGCAGCUGGAGUUACAGGCAAUUGUGAGCUGCCCAACAUGUAUGCUGAGAACUAAGUUCAUGUCCUUUGCAAAAGCAGUAAGUACUUGUAACAACAGAGCCAUCUCUCCAGCCCUGCAAGGGGCUUAUAGUGGAGUGAAAUAGCUGUGCAUCCAGAUCAAGACCUCACCAAUAUUAUCAGGUAAUAUAAAGAAAUGCCAGAUGCAAUAAUCUAGAACAUAAAACAUUAGGUUUAAACAUGGACUAAUAUUAAAUAGAGGUUCAAAUUUUAUAUAGAUAGCCAAAGGGUAGAUCACCUGACAAAAUAACUUCUUAAGUAGAGGCAGUGUAUAUUUUAAAUAUAGUGUGUUGGUCUUCUAUGUGAUUAUAAUCCUGUUUAAUCCUGUCAAAUUGAUAAUCAGCGCCAACCAUUAGACAUAGUAUGUACACAUGUGUGAGCCAAAGGACUUGAUUCUCCUCAGGGAUCAUAACAUUGCUACAUUGUAUUCAUUUUUCUACUCUAACAUUGCCACAUUGUAUUCAUCUUUCUAAUGCAGGACUCUACAACUAUCAGGAAACCAUAAAUAGAUAGCCUAACUUUAAAGCCAAUAAUUAUAGUAGAAAUGUUGAUGCUGUCACACAGUAAUGAAGACAUUUGUGUAGAAUAAGCUGAUGUGAUGCUCUUUGGGGACCAACCUGAACACCCAAACAUGACAGCCCUAUGGAUUUGUAUUGGAAACCUAACUGAAAGCUGGAAAUAAUGGACUUGUAUCUUACACAGUGAAUCCUUGACUCUGAACAAAGCAAACCGAAACUCAGAAACAGUGUUGAUAUCGCCCAUAGGCCUGGCUGCACCUCUAUUGCCGGAAACUAGAGUCAACCUUCUAAUUGCUGAUAAAAGGACCUGAAAAGACAGAGUGCACACACACCAUGCACACAAUAUACAUAAACACACAUACAUACACAAUAUAUACACAGAACAUGCACAUCACACACACUAACACACAUAAAUAUUAUACCUACAUACAUGCACACUCCACAUACAUUCUCUCUCACACACACAUCAUUUGAUUGCUUAUAACUAACAUGCAUUGGUAGUCACAACCUUUUUCAGCAGAUAAAGAGGGACAUUUUUUUUCCCGACUUUUCUCAAAAUACUUGAGUAUUGAUACUUUUGCUGUGUUUUCUUGCCAAUGUUGUUUCCUUUGGGUGUUGUUGUUGUUGUUGCUUUGAGACAGUUUUAAUUUGUAGCAUUAGCUGGCCUUGAACUCAUUAUCCUCGGUAUCUUAAGUAGUGGGCAUAUGCUACCACUCCUAGCUAGCGCAUGGACUCUUAAUUACCAGGAUAUAACACCACUUGAGAACUGCAAACUCAUGUGUGAUCCAGUCAAAGCAGUCUGCCUUCAAUGUUUUCUCUGGUAGGCCAGGGGUGGGCUAAGGUUCAGGGACAAGCGACACACGAAAGGAACCAGACUACAGUGGCUCCUUUCCUGAGGUCUCACAUAACUACUACUUUCCUGGCCAGCUUCACUGGUGUCUGGAGACAGAGCUGAGCUCUGGGGACUGGAGGUGGAGGCCCAGUGGUAGAGAAGGCAUUUCCUUCAAGGAAAGAGCUGGACUUACUGAUGUAGGCAGGGACAGACAGACAACUCAACUGAAAAGUCAGAGGCAUAUCUUUGAUCAGACUGCAAGAAGUUCAGGUAUGUCAAGAUCCUGACCCAUUUCUAUUUCGGACUAAGUUACGCAGUCGUCUUUGUUAGAGAGGCCAAGAAUACUCCCAUUAGUAUAGAAAAGUUGUAUCUAGGGUAUCUAAACCUCUCAGUUGCCUUUUCUGUCUGAGAAUUAUAUCCCCAACUCUGAAUGCUUUGCACGUCUGUAAACUGAGUCUUACAUUCAGCAAUGUACUAACAAAAUACGAAAUGUAAAGCCCUGAGCUGCAUGUAAGCCCCUUGGAAACCGAGAGCCAACUAGAACAGCUCCUGUUAGCAGCCGGAAAUGAUUUCAACUUCAGCAGCAUGGUCACACACUUGGUUUAUGUGCAGGCUGUAAAACGAGCUGACAGCAACACCGUGUCUGGAAAGUUGUUGUUUAAAACCUACUCCGAGAUUUAUUCAAUGAUUUCUCAAUAAAUCAACAGCCUUCCCCAGGCAGGAGAGGAAUUCUGUUAAGUACCAGGUCGAUUGGCUAAGCAUCGCUAUUUUGUUGUUCUCUGUAAAACGUUACAGUGAAUAAAAUUAUAUCUUUAUGGUUACCUAGUUAAAAAAAAACACUGGAGGAGUCGCUCUGAUUUACUAACCUAAUUUAGACUCAUAUGAACUGCUGCAUCUUCUCCCUUAGUCAUCUCUGUCAUCUCUAAAUACCCACAGCUAUAGCUUCCUGUAAAACCAUUCUUUUUCUUUAAUCUUGAAGGGGAUACAGAUAACUUCAGAAAUAAGGGGUGUUUGUUUGUUUGUUUGUUCUGUUAUAUAUCCAGAAGGUUGUGAGCUGUUCACAUAGUAUCUCAAGGCUGUUGUUCAGAACCAUGUGCUUGUUUCCUGGGCUAAUGAGAGAGAGUCUCUUCAACAGCAUGGCUUCCCCCAUAAGUGCACACUCAGACAGCUUGUGUGGAGUUUUAAUUUCAAACAUGAGGUCAUUCUUUGUUGGCCUCUCUGUAGAAAGCGAACUGUUAGGAAGGUCACUGUGAGUAAGGUAGAUAUUUGCAUAAGCAGCAGAUAUAAUGACAUUUAUCUUGUCGCUUUAGUUCUUUCCCAAGAGGAGUGGGUGCUUCCCAUACGGACAUGAAAUUCUGCUGUCCUGAGCUACUUGCUAUAGAAUAUCUUGGUUUGGUUCUACUAAAAUGAGGAAAUGUUUCUGGGUCAAGAUACCCAAGUUGCAUUUUUUUCUAGCGUCCAGAUGCCACCUAUUGGUGGGAGAUUCUCUGCAAAGUGUAAUUAAAGAACCAAAACAGAAAGGAGUCACAUGCAGGGCAAGUUACCUACUGCCUUUUACCAGGCUGUAAGCCUUACGAGGUCAGAGAUGCUUGCUACCUUAUCUUCAGCAUCCAGAAGCGUAGUUGAUAUGAAGAAGGUGAUCAAUAUGUAUCUAUGGAAUAAGUAAAUAAGAACGUUUCAUUUGUUGUCCAGGUUUGCAGUUAACAGAUAUUUAUGACGGACCCAUUCUGUACUAAGUUCUCCUUCACCCAAUUACCAAUCUGCAAGACUUCAUCUGCUGUGACCAAAUACCUAGCAAGAAAAGGCUUAAGGGCGAGACAGUUUAUUUGGGUUCAUGGUUUAAGGGGAUACAAACCAUGAUGUUGUGGCAGACAUGGCAGUCGAUUCUUUGGAGGCUGGGAUGUGAGGCAACUAGUGACAUUGUUUUGACAGUCGGAAGCAAAUUGACCUAAAGCUAGGUCGGCUGUAGCCUUAAGCCCCACCCCUAUUACCCAGUUCCUUUGUAGACCCUAACUUCCGAUGUGCUAUAGCCCUAAGCCCCACCCAUAUUACCCAGUUCCUCCAUGUAAGCUCUAACUUCCUAAGGUCCCAUAGCCUCUAGAACCAGCAGCACUAGCUAGAGACCAAGUGUUCAAGCAUGUGAGCCUGCAGGCUACAUUUCCCAUCCAAACGAUAACAGCAACGCCUGGCUGACGUCCAGCGCAGGGUGAGCUCUUCCGUUCCUUUAGUUCAUUGUGUAUGGUUUCUCAUCUACUUCCCAGCUGGUAUCCUGCAGGUGAUGUUGCAUUUCUUCUUGCCUUCGGUUCUCUUCCUUGCUCUUCAAAACAGAGAUACAGAGUGACUUAAGCAAGCAGUUUUGGUUCUAGCAGAGAGACAUGGCCAUGGGGUUUAGGUUGAACUUGGAGUUAAAGGAAGCACCUCCUAUGACUUCUAAUGCUUGUGCCUGUCCACAUCCUUUUUAGAUCGUGAAUCGGUUUCCACUCAUUGCCUUUAACCUGGUUUGUGAGCCAUUUCAUCCAACAUAUUUCAUCCAACAUAGGCACAUAUGAAAAACAUUUCUACCCAUUGAAUUAUACCAUAUUGCCCACUUUAGUAGACUAUAUUGUAAUAUAUUGGUUUUUAUUAUAUUUGUGUGUGUGUGUGUAAAAAUUGACUCUGGUUGUCUCCUGGAGACAUGUUACUUUAGUGCACCUUAUAACUUGUUUACUAUUUAAAGAUCUGCAUUUUUAAGCUCUACCCCAAUCAACCAUCACUUUCUUAGGCUUCUUCACCUAUGUGGCCAGUGACACAUGUGAGGUAUGUGAUUUAGUUUCCAUAUUUCUUUUGUCACUGGUGAAUCAUCUGCAUUCAGUACAGGGCUAAGAUCAUGGUAGGUAUCCAGUAGCCACAUGAUGAAAGUGCAGAUAAGCAAUAGAUAUGAAGUAGAAAUGGAUUAAAUACUUACACAAGAUGGCCUGGUGAGUAUAAUUUCAUUUACAGGCAUACACCUCAAAGACAAGAUCCCCAUAUUUGCACAAUAAGUACUUACUCACAGGAUGAGUUCAGAAUGCAUAUAAAAAGUCACGCACAGCAGCGUAUGCCUGUAACCUUAGUCCUGGGACCAGAGACAGGCAGAUCCUGCAAGCUCAUUGACCAAACAUUUUAGCCAAAUGUAUGGGCUUCAAGUGUCCUCACAAAAGAGCAUAGAGAUUGAGCAAAGAAAGACACUCAAUGCUGGCCUAUAGCCUACACAUAUAUAAAUGUAUGUGUAUAAGCACCUACACACAUACAUGUAUAACCUCAUGAAAAUACACAUAACAUACCCAGCACACACAAUAAGGUGUAUAAAUCCUUAAGUAGAAGAAGUUACUAGACUUUUCAGAUCUUUUAAAAAAUAAAAAAAAUUUUUUGAGGAUCACAUAAUUUUCUAUUGACCUCUUUAAAUAUGGAAAGUCAAGAGCAGCAACAAACAAAGAAACAAAGAAACAACAACAACAACAAAAAAAACCCUCAUAGAACAAAAAACCCUGUAAGACCAUGGUAAAUUUGAAAAGGCCAUUAAAAAAUCAUAAUUCUUUUAUCCUAAUUGAGUACAAUGUGACAUGCAAACAAAUAUGGUCAUGAGAAAUAAAUUAAAUUAGAUAGCCUAUUAUUCAUAGCUGGAGUUAAGUAAAUAUUUAGCCAUAGCUGUUCUUACAGAAGCCUGCAAACUCUCUCCCUCCCUGUAUUAUUUUUUUCUUCUAUUUUCACAAAAUCUGUGCUGACCUCAAAUUUGCAAUGAAGGUAAGGAUAACCAUGAACUUCCAACAUUUCUACCUCUACCCCAUAACACAGAAUACAGGCUCAUGCCAUUGUGCCUGGGUCACACAUACAGAAUCAUUUCAUAAGUGGAGAGAUACUUACCAUGGUAGAUAGACCCUCAAUUGUAACUAUAAUUAUAUAUGGCAAACACAAGGGCACUAUCCUUUGAAGUUUAGACUUGGAAAAACACUUUUCUACGGGUGGUAGUUUGAUUAUGCAGGGAGUGACACUAUUUGGAGGUUUGGCCUUGUUGGAGGAAGUGUAUCACUGUGGGUGUAGGCUUUAAGACCUUUGUCCUAGCUUUCUGGAAGCCAGUCUUUUUCUAGCAGCCUUCAGAUAAGACAUAGAACUCUCAGCUCCUCCUGCACCAUGCCUGCCUGGAUGCUGCCAUGCUCCCGUCUUGAUGAUAAUGGACUGAACCUCCACCUGUAAGCCAGCCCUAACUAAAUGUUGCCCUCAUUAAGAGUUGCCUCAGUCAUGGUGUCUGUUCACAGCAGGAAAACCCUAAGACAGCCUGUCAACCAGAGAAAAAAAUUUUUCAAACUUUACGUGAUAGCCAGCUUGUAAAUUUGGCAGCCUAUGCAAUCUGCACAGGAAAGGCAACUUCACACAUACUCCAAAAGAACAAGAAAUCAUAUAUCUUUUUUACCCUCUAAAGACUGGGUCUUGAAACAGAGGCCUCUUGGACAGCACACUAGACUCAUGUAAAGGUAUUGUGCUCUUUGGGAAACUUCCAGUGAAAUCACAGGGCAAAGAGUAGUAGGAGACUGUACUCUGAGCAUUGCUACCCCAGGACCUGUUGCCAUGCAGCCUGCUGAAGGAACACGAACAUGGAACUGCAGGAAGACAGGAGCUGGUUCCUGGGAAUGGCGUCACUAUUCAUUUUCCCUAAUCCCUGUCCUGGGAGGCACCCACAGGGCAGAGCACCAAGCUACUGUCUCUGUUACUUAUCACACUGUUCAAGGCAGCUCUUCAUUUGUGUCUGGACCCUUCCCUAUAUACUUUCAACUAGGAACAGUGUGAUAAUGAGAGGGUAUGCUGUAUUUUAGACACCAUAAUUCUGCCCACACAUCCAACUAGCAAUUUGCUCGCCACAAAUGUGUUCGGCCUAUAUAUUACAUCUGUACAUUCUCUGCCAAUCUCUAAAGUUGUGAUGUUAAUGCAAACCUACAGGUAGUGGUAAGUCUUUCCUUGAGAGACAUCACUGGUGAGACCAUUCGCCACGAGGAAACAGGCAUCCCAGAGGUGAAUCACACCCUGGAUGUAAUUGUUUGAUUUCUCUGGUCCUCCCUCUCUACACACUAAGUCUUGUGCUGUGGUUGCAUGUGGAGGCCACUGACUGCAGGGCUCUCAGCAUCGUCAGAAGAGAGUAUUUCCACACUGCCUCAAGGAAGUAAGACUAGAAUAAAGUAAAAGUCAGUAUCUCAAUAUUAUUAUAUAAAUAUGAUUUCAUAUUUCACGUGGCUGAAAUAUUUAAGCUUCCAAUUUUCACCUGAAUACAUCCAUUGACUUUGCCUUUUUAAUAAGAAUAUGGAGCUUAACAUACAAUCAACAGCAGUUAUAUGUUGGCCUUUGGGUUGACUAAUUACUAAUUAAAUGGUUAAUGGGCUUAUGCCAAAGAAGAUACGUAUUUUCUUCUAAUCCAUAGAUGCCUGAAGGUCCUAAAAGCAUUUCAUGUACUGACAAGCUUGGGAGGCAAUGUUGACAGCCAGAUGUGGGUAUUUCCUAAUACAUUUGUUUGCUAUGUCUAGUAUUUUAAUCUUGCUUCUGAGGCCGCCCUGUGAAAUUUUGUCCGCCACUGGGUCACUGACACGGGUUCGCUCGUUCAUCCUCUUUAUCCAUUCGUUUCCUUUUGCUUCAGCUGGCAGAAAUCAACCUCAGCAGAGUACACCGAAAUUAAUGAGUUAAACACUGAGUAGCCUAGGAAAGAUGAGCCAUUGCUUUUUAAUUUUUUCAUUAAAACCAAACCAACCCAAACCAAACCAAAACAAAUAAACAAAAAAUACCCCAGAGUCUCCUACAUGCUCUAGGAAGAAACAGAGCGUUGGGUGUUCUCUGUGAGGUGUCAUGGUACUGCAACAUGGGAGGGGGAGGGGAGGGUGAGCAUACUGGGGAGCAAGCCCACUCCCCCACUCAGUCAUGUAGGUAAGUGCUCCUUAAGGCUGUGUCUAGAAGGAAAGCAAACCCUCAAAGAAACUGUGGGAUGCACCUGACAGGAGGAUCAGUGCAGCCUAAAGAAAACAUCAAGUUUUUGUUUCUUUUGUUUUGUUUUGUUUUUGUUUUGUUUUUGCUAACAUCUACUUAUUAGUGAGUACAUACCAUGCAUGUCCUCUUGGGUCUGACUUACCUCACUUAGAUGAUAUUUUCUAAUUCCAUCCUUUUGCCUGCAAAACCCUCAUUCUUAAUAACUGAGUAGUACUCCAUCUGUCUAAAAGAACUGCAUAGACAAAAAUGGAGAUGAAACGGAGAGAAAGGAGGUCCAGUGACCGGCCCAACUUGGGAUCCAACUCAAUGGGAGGUCCCAAGGCCUGACACUAUUGCUGAUGCUAUGGUGUGUUUACAGACAGGAGCCUAGCCUGGCUGCCCUCUGAGAAGCCCAACAAGCAGCUGAUCAAGACAGAUACAGAUACUGACACCCAACCAAUGAACUAAAGUCAGGGACCCUUGUGGUUGACAUAGAGAACGACUGGAAGAAGCUGAGGAGGAGGCAAACCCCAUAGGAAGACCAGCAGUCUCAACUAACCUGAACCCCUGACAUCUCUCAGACUCUGAGCUGCCAACCAGGCAGCAUACACCAGCUGAUACGAGUCCCCUGACACAUAUAUAGCACAGGAUGCCUGGUCUGGCCUCACUGAGAGAAGAAACACCUAACCUUCUCCAAAGACCUGAAGCCCCAGGGAGUGGGGAGACCUGGUGGGAGGCAGGGUGGAGAGCCAUCCUCUUGGAAACUGGGGGAAAAGAAAGAAAGAAAACAUCAAGUGGCCACACGAGUCAGAGCUUUCAGCAUCCGUGCUGUAUUCAGACGUGCACUGGGGUAACUGCAAUCCCUUCUUCCUACAGGCUCGUUGGCACACAGAAGAGCUCACUGUAGUUUUAUCAUCUCUCCUCACCUCAGUGUGUGCUUUCCUACUUGCUGCUGGGAGCCAUGUUGGGGUAACCUGACAAGACAGGCUUCCAGAUGGGUCAGUCUUAACUUGUGGUCGCUCUUUACUUGUGGUUACAUCUUGGAUUGACCCACACUAACAGUCUUAUGCUCAUAGGGUCCGGUGUGAUAUUUGAUGUAUAUGUAUAUACUUGGUAUGAUGAGCACAUGCGCUUAGCACAUCCAUCACCAUGAGCUCCGAUCACUUCUCCAGCGGGGCAUCUUCAGCUCCCCCUCCUCAUCAUCUGAAACGUGAAGUACGUGAGCAUCAGCCACGUCCUAUUGGGAAACAGGAUCUUAGAUCCCCUUGUUUUACAGACUCCCAUUGGCCAAUCUCUCCCUAUAUGCCCGCCCCUUCAUCAUCUCUUAUAACUAACUACUGUUUUACUCUAGAUCUCUAGCUUUUAGAUUCUACGGUGAGUUAGGAAAUGUGACGCUUUUGUGGAUUGCCCUGGUGCUGUUGGUAUUUUGAUAUUAACUCUGCUUCCUCAAGAGGGGCUGCCCCUCCCAUCCCUAAAGAAGUGAAUCGCCUACUCAGGUGAUUUCAUGUGAACCUUCUCCCCAUUUUAACUGGUCAAAUAAAGGCUAGAGCUUGUGGUUGGGCAGUGGAAGGGAAAGGUGGCGCUGGAGGUUUUAGAGACAAGGAAGAGAGGAAGGAGAAGAUGAUGGAGGAGAGAGAGGAAGAUGGAGGAAGGGGAGGUGGAAAGGAGAUGGAGGAAAACUACAUGGCCCAGAGAAGCCACAAAUAACAAGGGAUCUCAUAGCUGGGGAAUAGAGUAGUGUAGUGGGAAAUCUGCCUAAUCUAGGUGUAUAGCUUAAAAAAUAAAUAAAUCUCAUUAAAACAAAAUUGCAGAUUUGUUAUAACUGACUUGUGUGUCUUUUGCAUGGGCUUAUUGGGGUUGGAAAUUUACUACAACAUGCUGCCCACUUUUUUUUUUUUUGGCCUGGCUUAUUUGCUUAACAAACAUCCUCUAGGCCCACCCAUGUGGUUGCGAUUAUAAGAUCAUAUCCUUUUAGAGAAGGAGUAGUGCUUCGUUCAGAAAAAGGUACUGCAUUUUCC